rnacentral:snRNA from 1 species
AGAUGUGAGGGAGAUCUGGCUGUGAUAUCUGUCACCCCACUGAUCGUCAGGGUUGAUUCAGUUGAUCUAGCUGGCUAGGCAGGUGUCCCCUUCCUCCCUUACCACUCCACGUGCAUCCCUCCCAAAGCUGCAUGCUCGUUCAAAGAAGACAACCUUCCCUGUAGUACCAUUCUUGGGUCAAAGGCAUACAAGUAGCUGUGCUCUGCUGCUAGAACCUCCAAACAAGCUCUCUAAAAACAAACUGGGCGUGGUGGUACAUGUCUGUAUCCCAGCUACACAGGAGAAGGAGGUAGGUGGAUCACAGUCU